UCGGCAAAACUGUUGUGUUGGAGGAGGGCGAAUUUGCCAUGAAUACUUUUGUAUUUACUUCAGCCCAGCACUGAAAAAUGGUUUGGUCCUUUCUUUCGUUAAAUGGUGAGAGAUGCCUGCCAAAUAUUCCUCCACUGAAGCCUGCGAUGAGCAGCAUUUAUGUUCAUAUUGUCCAUGGCUGGUACAAGCAAGCACAUCUUCCAUACAUCUCU